CCUACGGGAGGCAGCAGUGGGGAAUAUUGCACAAUGGGCGCAAGCCUGAUGCAGCCAUGCCGCGUGUAUGAAGAAGGCCUUCGGGUUGUAAAGUACUUUCAGCGGGGAGGAAGGGAGUAAAGUUAAUACCUUUGCUCAUUGACGUUACCCGCAGAAGAAGCACCGGCUAACUCCGUGCCAGCAGCCGCGGUAAUACAGAGGGUGCAAGCGUUAAUCGGAAUUACUGGGCGUAAAGCGCACGCAGGCGGUUUGUUAAGUCAGAUGUGAAAUCCCCGGGCUCAACCUGGGAACUGCAUCUGAUACUGGCAAGCUUGAGUCUCGUAGAGGGGGGUAGAAUUCCAGGUGUAGCGGUGAAAUGCGUAGAGAUCUGGAGGAAUACCGGUGGCGAAGGCGGCCCCCUGGACGAAGACUGACGCUCAGGUGCGAAAGCGUGGGGAGCAAACAGGAUUAGAUACCCUGGUAGUCCACGCCGUAAACGAUGUCGACUUGGAGGUUGUGCCCUUGAGGCGUGGCUUCCGGAGCUAACGCGUUAAGUCGACCGCCUGGGGAGACGGCGCGAGUAAACGUACGAAGAGUAGUAGCGNGAGAGAGACGACGACGACGACGAGGAGGAGG
rnacentral:rRNA from 1 species